rnacentral:rRNA from 1 species
CAGGCUGCAACUCGCCUGCACGAAGCCGGAGUUGCUAGUAAUCGCGGAUCAGAAUGCCGCGGUGAAUGCGUUCCCGGGUCUUGUACACACCGCCCGUCACACCAUGGAAGUUGGGGGUGCCCAAAGCCGGCAGGGAAAUAUGCUGUCUAAGGCAAAACCAAUGACUGGGGUGAAGUCGUAACAAGGUAGC